UAAGGAAUAUUGGGCAAUGGACGAAAGUCUGACCCAGCCAUGCCGCGUGAAGGAUGAAGGUCCUCUGGAUUGUAAACUUCUUUUAUCUGGGGCGAAAACUGAUUUUUCUAAAUCAUUUGACAGUACCAGAUGAAUAAGCACCGGCUAACUCCGUGCCAGCAGCCGCGGUAAUACGGAGGGUGCAAGCGUUAUCCGGAUUCACUGGGUUUAAAGGGUGCGUAGGUGGACAAGUAAGUCAGUGGUGAAAUCCCCGAGCUUAACUCGGGAACUGCCGUUGAUACUAUUUGUCUUGAAUAUCGUGGAGGUAAGCGGAAUAUGUCAUGUAGCGGUGAAAUGCUUAGAGAUGACAUAGAACACCAAUUGCGAAGGCAGCUUGCUACGCGGUAAUUGACACUGAGGCACGAAAGCGUGGGGAGCAAACAGG
rnacentral:rRNA from 1 species